CUGAGUACUACACUCUCUACCCUUUGUGAACUAUUAUACCUGUUGCUUCGGCGGCGCCCGCGAGGGUGCCCGCCGGUCUCAUCAGAAUCUCUGUUUUCGAACCCGACGAUACUUCUGAGUGUUCUUAGCGAACUGUCAAAACUUUUAACAACGGAUCUCUUGGCUCCAGCAUCGAUGAAGAACGCAGCGAAACGCGAUAUGUAAUGUGAAUUGCAGAAUUCAGUGAAUCAUCGAAUCUUUGAACGCACAUGGCGCCUUCCAGUAUCCUGGGAGGCAUGCCUGUCCGAGCGUCGUUUCAACCCUCGAGCCCCUGUGGCCCGGCGUUGGGGAUCUGUCACGGCAGGCCCCUAAAACCAGUGGCGGACCCGAAGGCCCUCUCCUUUGCGCAGUAGCAUCAGCCUCGCAUUGGGAUCCCUCGGCGUCCUGCCUCUAAACCCCCCACAAGUCCGCUCCGGCGGCAC
rnacentral:misc_RNA from 1 species